rnacentral:rRNA from 1 species
UGGUGGAUUAGUGGCGAACUUGGGUGAGUAACACGUGGGCAAUCUGCCCUUCACUCUGGGACAAGCCCUGGAAACGGGGUCUAAUACCGGAUAAUACUCCUGCCUGCAUGGGUGGGGGUUGAAAGCUCCGGCGGUGAAGGAUGAGCCCGCGGCCUAUCAGCUUGUUGGUGGGGUAAUGGCCUACCAAGGCGACGACGGGUAGCCGGCCUGAGAGGGCGACCGGCCACACUGGGACUGAGACACGGCCCAGACUCCUACGGGAGGCAGCAGUGGGGAAUAUUGCACAAUGGGCGAAAGCCUGAUGCAGCGACGCCGCGUGAGGGAUGACGGCCUUCGGGUUGUAAACCUCUUUCAGCAGGGAAGAAGCGCAAGUGACGGUACCUGCAGAAGAAGCGCCGGCUAACUACGUGCCAGCAGCCGCGGUAAUACGUAGGGCGCAAGCGUUGUCCGGAAUUAUUGGGCGUAAAGAGCUCGUAGGCGGCUUGUCACGUCGGAUGUGAAAGCCCGGGGCUUAACCCCGGGUCUGCAUUCGAUACGGGCUAGCUAGAGUGUGGUAGGGGAGAUCGGAAAUUCCUGGUGUAGCGGU